rnacentral:lncRNA from 1 species
GCCAUCACCGUGAUUCUCGCCGCAGCUCUAGCUAGCCCAACCACCUCGCCCACUUCACCGAGAGAUAAGUAGUGGGUUGGCCCCCACCUUCUCCUCGACCCUAAUUCUCUGCUCCCAGCCGAUAGGGCGCCUACCCGUUCAAGCGCGACUCACCGCCACUGGCGCUCCGACUGCGUGUGCCGCGGAUCGGUGCCACUCUGUACUCCGACCUGCGCUAUACCUCCGUCGAGUCGUCGGGGAUUUAAUCGGUGGCUUCCCCUUGUGGAUUGGCGGCCGGAGCCUCGCAAUUGGUCGCCGUGGUGCUAUUCCCUCCGUGUGCGCCGUGACCAGAGCCGGGGUAAGAAUUCUAUUUCCGGGAUCGCCAUCCCCUGAAUUUCAUUUUGCACCCGAGUUUCAUGGGGAUCGUGUACCGAUUGGGGCAUCGGGCGUCUCAACCAUGGCGAGCCGCCGUGAUGCCAGGCGCGGGCGCCGCCGUCUCGGUUGGUCAGAGGAAGGAGAUAAGCGUGAUCCGUUGAUUUAGCAGGCAACGGCUGCGAUUAGAAGAUCAUACCCCUUCGUUUGAAUAACUCACGGGCCGUGGAUCUUUGAUCCGUUGGCUCAGAUCGCGUCCUGCUUCAUUAAAUCGUGACCGUCGAUCGUGGAUCGAGUGGACACGCUCGUGUAACCAUUUACCGCGGCCGGGAUCUAAUCCUCACCGUCCGUUUUGGAUCGGGCGGCCAGUAAACCUCGAUACCUCUUCGGUGAUCACAUAUUGCAGUUAGACCCUUAGGUUUUUAGAAAACAGAACCCGCGGUCCACGGUGGGGUUGGAUUGAGUCUCGGGAUUAUUUGUUAAACAGCCCCUGACGUUCCUGGUAAAUGAGGCCCAGUCCAGUAGUGAAUUAAAUGGAUUAAAUGAAAUAGAAAUUGGAUUUUAAUAUGAAAAUAAACCCUAGAACUUGUUUAUUCCAUAGAAAAUGCAUAUGAACUCCAAAUCACUCCAUUCCAGUUGCAAAAAUUUGGUAAUAUUAUUCUCUUUCACUUAGAGUAUCUGUUUUUACAUGAAAACAGUAAGAAAUUUAAUUCCUCACUUAAUCCAUUUUAAAUACAUAAAAUCUUUGAAAAUCCAUAACUUAAAAUCUAUAACUCCAAAAAUUAUGAUUCCUGUUCCUAGAAUUUUUAUUUUAAUGUGUAGAUUAUUACUGUGUAUUUUGUUUAUAUGUUUGGUGUAAUGUUAAUUUCUCUAUAUGCACUGUGCUUGUUUGUAUUGUGGCGAGUAGAAGAGCCCGUGACCGAGGAUCAUGGUGGGCAGCAGGUUGAAGUAGAUGAGCAGGAGCUCAUUGAAGGCAAGUUGUGCCCUUGAUCACUUCUUUUACCCAUUCAUGUUCUAAUUAAUCAUAAUGAUCUGCAUAGGUUAAUUUUGAUGGGACCUAAUAGGUUACCCUAGUUUGUCUAUCUUUAUGCCUUGUUUACCCCUGAACUUUUUGGGUAGUACUUGCUAGUGCUAUAUGUGGUUUUGGGCAUUGAGAUACACAUUAUUCAUGAUUAUACUUUUGUUAUCCGUUGUUAUUUACUGUUCAUGUCAAGAUCAUUAAUGUUAAUUGGAACAUAGAGCUUAACUUGAGAAACAUGUGCCACCACAAGGGUUUAUGGACGCCCUUGGCUGAUUAAUUAGGAAAGCUAGUGGAGGACUACCUUACCCGAAAGGGGCAAGGGCAGUAGGGGAGUGGUCAGUGUAGGGAGGUCCUUGGUUGAUUUUGCUGCGAUGGCGGUCAGGCAAGAACCCUGCAUUGGAGCUUCCCAUAAACUGUAGCGGGUUUUCUGAAGCUAGUGGAACUUUGUAAAGGCCUCGUAGUGUUACCCUGCCUCGCCUCCUCGGUAGAGGUGUAUGGGAAGUCGCGAUCCCUUGGCAGAUGGGUAACAUGACUUGUGGGUAAAGGGUACCACCUCUGCAGAGUGUAAAACUGGUAUACUAGCCGAGCUCACGGUCAUGAGCAGCUCAGGACUCUCUGAUGAUUAAAUUAUGGAACUUAAAUUCAAUUUUGUCAUUUGCAUAUAUGCAUGGGUUUAUUAUUAAUUUUGUUCUAUUAUUUAUUAAGGUUUGGUAUUUACUUACAUCUAGUAAUUGCUAAUAAAAGUUUGACUAACAUUAAAAGCAAUGCUCAGCUUUAACCAUUCUCUUUGAUUAGCCUUACACAUCACAUGAACUCCCACCUUUGUGAGUUCAUGUCACAUUAUUCCCCACAACUUGUUGAGCGAUGAUCAUGUGUGAGCUCACCCUUGCUGUCUCACACCCCCCCCCACAGGAGAAGAGCAGGUGGUUCAGGAGGAGCCACAAAGCGAGGAGUUUGAUCUGAUCUAUGUGGCGUUUCUCAGUUGACAUUGGCGCCAACGAUCCUUAGUUUGUUUUAUAUUCAUUAUUUUAUUUUGUAAUAAGUCUUCCGCUAUGUAAUAAAUACUCUGAUGUUUUAUGACAUUUAUCUCUAUACACUC